ensembl:snoRNA SNORD116 Small nucleolar RNA SNORD116
GGAUCGAUGACGAUACCCCAAAAACAUUCCUUGGAAAAGCUGAACAAAAUGAGUGAGGACUCUAAACCAUCGUUCUCAUCGUGACUGAGGUCC